rnacentral:rRNA from 1 species
GACGAACGCUGGCGGCGUGCUUAACACAUGCAAGUCGAACGGAAAGGCCCCUUUGGGGGUACUCGUGUGGCGCACGGGUGAGUAACACGUGUGUAACCUGCCCUUGUAUUCGGGAUUACUUCAGGAAACUGGGGCUUAUACCGGCUAGGAAUCCUUGCUGCAUGGUGGGGGUUGGUAAGCUUCGGCGGUUUUGGAUGGACUCGCGGCUUAUCAGCUUGUUGGUGGGGUAGUGGCUUACCAAGGCUUUGAUCGGUAGCCGGCCUGAGAGGGCGAGCGGCCACCUUGAGACUGAGGUACGGCCCAGACUCCUACGGGAGGCAGCAGUGGGGAAUAUUGAACAAUGGGCGGAAGCCGGAUGCAGCAACGCCGCGUGCGGGAUGACGGCCUUCGGGUUGUAAACCGCUUGCAUCAGGGGCGAAGCUUGUGGUGACGGUACCUGCAGAAGAAGCACCGGCUAACUACGUG